UUUGAUGUUAACUUAUGGAACUUGUACAUAAAUAAUUAGUUCAUUGUUGAUUUUAGAUUGGAUUCUAAAUUUUUUUCUUGAACCCUCAACCAUAAAUUGUGAUUUGAAUUUUUACCCUUGCCUUAGAAAGUCCGAGAAUAUUCAUAUUACAAUGGUUGGUUGCAUUCAAGUUGGAGAGAAAAUGUUGGUUGCUAAGAGGUU
rnacentral:lncRNA from 1 species